rnacentral:rRNA from 1 species
UACGUAGGUGGCAAGCGUUGUCCGGAUUUACUGGGCGUAAAGAGCGCGCAGGCGGGCGGUCAAGUCGCGUGUGAAAGCCCCCGGCUCAACUGGGGAGGGUCACGCGAUACUGAUCGACUCGAAGGCAGGAGAGGGUAGUGGAAUUCCCGGUGUAGUGGUGAAAUGUGUAGAUAUCGGGAGGAACACCAGUGGCGAAGGCGACUACCUGGCCUGUUUCUUGACGCUGAGGCGCGAAAGCUAGGGGAGCAAACGGG